rnacentral:rRNA from 1 species
CUGAUCCAGGGAGGUAGUGACAAGAAAUAACAACCUAGUCGCAAGACAGUGGAUUGUAAUGAGUGCAAUUUAAAACACUGCACGAGGAACAAUUGGAGGGCAAGUCUGGUGCCAGCAGCCGCGGUAAUUCCAGCUCCAAUAGCGUAUAUUAAAGUUGUUGCAGUUAAAAAGCUCGUAGUUGAGUUUCUAGUCAGUUAAUUUGGAGGUCUCCUUCACUUUAGCUGGCUAUUCGACACUGAACCAUGUCGGUUAUUAAGUUAACCCCAUGGAGAAUUGUCAUUUUACUUUGAAAAAAUUAGAGUGUUUCAGGCAGGCAAUUGCCUGGAUAUCUUAGCAUGGAAUAAUGGAAUAGGACUUUGGUUCAUUUUAUUGGUUAUUGAAUCAGAGUAAUGAUUAAUAGGGACAGUUGGGGGCAUUAGUAUUUAAUUGUCAGAGGUGAAAUUCUUGGAUUUAUUAAAGACUAACUUAUGCGAAAGCAUUUGCCAAGGAUGUUUUCAUUAAUCAAGAACGAAAGUUAGGGGAUCAAAGACGAUCAGAUACCGUCCUAGUCUUGACUAUAAACUAUACCGACUCAGGAUUGGCCAUGUUUAAACUUGGUCAGCACUGUAUGAGAAAUUAAAGUCUUUGGGUUCUGGGGGGAGUAUGGUCGCAAGGCUGAAACUUAAAGGAAUUGACGGAAGGGCACCACCAGGAGUGGAGCCUG